rnacentral:rRNA from 1 species
CUAACAAGGAUUCCCCUAGUAACUGCGAGUGAAGCGGGAAAAGCUCAAAUUUUGAAUCUGGCAGUCAAGUCAUUAGGCUGUCCGAAUUGUAAUCUAGAGAAGCGUCUUCCGCGCUGGACCGUGUACAAGUCUCCUGGAAGGGAGCGUCAUAGAGGGUGAGAAUCCCGUCUUUGACACGGACUACCAUGUGCUUAUGUGUUGCGCUCUCGACGAGUCGAGUUGUUUGGGAAUGCAGCUCAAAAUGGGUGGUAAAUUCCAUCUAAAGCUAAAUACAGGCGAGAGACCGAUAGCGAACAAGUACCGUGAGGGAAAGACGAAAAGAACUUUGAAAAGAGAGUUAAACAGUACGUGAAAUUGCUGAAAGGGAAACACUUGAUGUCAGUCGCGUUGAUUAGGGGUCAGCUUGGUAAGAGAUUGCUGGGCGUAAUUCCUAGUUGAUGGGUCAGCAUCAGUUUUGGUCAUCAUACAUAGGCUUGGGGAAAGUAGCACUCUUUAGGGAGUGUGUUAUAGACUCAUGGUCGGAUGUGAUGGUUGGGACUGAGGAGAGCUCUGUAUUUAAUUAUGCAAGAGGAUGCUGGCAUAAUGGCCUUAA